CCUACGGGUGGCAGCAGUCGAGAAUCAUUCACAAUGGGGGAAACCCUGAUGGUGCGACGCCGCGUGGGGGAAUGAAGGUCUUCGGAUUGUAAACCCCUGUCAUGUGGGAGCAAAUAAAAAAGAUAGUACCACAUGAGGAAGAGACGGCUAACACUGUGCCAGCAGCCGCGGUAAUACAGAGGUCUCAAGCGUUGUUCGGAAUCACUGGGCGUAAAGCGUGCGUAGGCUGUUUCGUAAGUCGUGUGUGAAAGGCGCGGGCUCAACCCGCGGACGGCCCAUGAUACUGCGAGACUAGAGUAAUGGAGGGGGAACCGGAAUUCUCGGUGUAGCAGUGAAAUGCGUAGAUAUCGAGAGGAACACUCGUGGCGAAGGCGGGUUCCUGGACAUUAACUGACGCUGAGGCACGAAGGCCAGGGGAGCGAAAGGGAUUAGAUACCCUUGUAGUC
rnacentral:rRNA from 1 species